CUGUUUCCGUAUCUCGGCCUCCUCACAAGGUAUAUCAGCUGCUUCACACCGAGACCAUUUUCCUUUGCUCAGACAUACUCGCAGAUUUCGUCGUCUCAGAAUAUUUCACCUCCACAUCCAACACUGACAUUGCGUUUCUUCCAGAUGGCGGUCUCCAGGAUGCGGUCCGCCUGGGCGGCUCUCUGCAUCGCCGUGCUAGUGAUGUCAGGCUCUGCUGAAGGUGCUAGUUUGGUGACGUUAAAAGCGGCGAACACAGAACCGUCAUACUCUUAUGACUUAACCAUGGACGUCACCAACCGCAUCUACAGUGAUUCUCUCCUCAACCCUUACUCUGACGACUAUAAUAUGAUGUUUGGGGAAGUUAGCACUGCGCUCUACUCUGUCUACGGCUGCCCCACUUGCGACACACGCACAUUUUAUCAAGGUGUGACAGCCAUGACCUUCAGUGACAAGGCUGGAUCUGUGGUUGUUCAGGCCACCAUCAUGUUCUACUCAGACCAAACCAAUGCCAUGGUGAUCAAGUACCUAUUUCUGCAGGCCGUCAAUAGCAGAAAUGAAAUAAAUGGCCUGAGAAUCAACCCUGGAUUCACACAGGUGUCUUCACAAUCCACAAGCGUUUCCCAUCCAACCACCACUCCAACCACCACUCCAACCACCACUCCAACCACCACUCCAACCACCACUCCAACCACUACCCCAACCACUACUCCAACCACUACUCCAACCACUACUCCAACCACUACUCGUCUAAUAACAUGUGACCCAUAUUUAACCAAUCAUGAUGUCAUUCAGAUAAUUAUGUCAUGUCUUACCACUACUCCAACCACUACUCCAACCACUACUUCAACCACUAGUCCAACCACUACUCCAACCCCUACUCCAACCACUACUUCAACCACUACUACAACCACUACUACAACCCCUACUCCAACCACUACUUCAACCACUACUCCAACCACUACUCCAACUACUCGUACCACCACUCCUACAACAACUACAACCACUACUCUAGUCUAUUAAAACAGGGUGAACCCAUUCCUUUAACCGAUCUCCUGCCAUUACUAAAACUACUUAAUCAGAUUGUUUAAAAAAGAAAAAGAAAAAAGAAACAGAUUGCAUGUAGUUAAUCAUAUGACAUGAUAUUAAAUUCAUAUUAAAACAGACGACACAUGAAACCCUUGAAAGGCUCGAUUAAAGUAUAAUAUUCUAUCUGUAAAGAGCAACGUUUUUUUCACACCUCCUGUGUUCAAACACCAUCUGAGUCACCGCUCGAUUAAAGUAUAAUAUUCUAUCUGUAAAGAGCAACCUUUUUUCACACCUCCUGUGUUCAAACACCAUCUGAGUCACCGUCCAAUGGGCAAUCUGUAUUUUCUCUCCCAUUACCAUGGUAGAAAUGGGAUUUAGAAAUGUUCUGUUUUCUGAAGUCUAUACUUCAUAGCCUACCCAUUAACCUCCUACAACUACCUCACCUCUCAAUCACAAUACAUUUACAGAGUGGGAAUGAAAUAGUCCCUGCCCACAAGAUGUCAUGUGACCACAUGUCAAAAGGACAAUGUUAAAAUCACUUUUGUUUGUUCAGAAAUGACUUAAAUAUCUGAUAAUCACCUGACAUCUUAAGAGCAUGUGUUUGUUACUCCUUAACAAACUUUUAACAUCGAUCAUUGCUCUUGUAUUUCUUAUAUGAUUCAAGAACCUAUGUUGUAAACCUGCCUUCACAAUUUUUACACCAUUCUUCCUCUAUUCAGUAUCUUUCUUCUUUCUUUUUUCUUUUCAUUAAUGUCAUUUUCAGUUAAUCAUUAGAGGAAUAGAUGCAGAUUUGUCUACAAUGUCUCAAUGCCUGUUGUAAACAGCACAAAACUAAUAAAAUGGGAUUAUACAAGCUUGAAAUUUUUCCUCCCAG
ensembl:lncRNA